rnacentral:rRNA from 1 species
AGAGCGAACGCUGGCGGCGUGCUUAACACAUGCAAGUCGAGUGCGCGCCUGUAGCAAUACAGGUGGCGCACGGCGCACGGGUGCGUAACACGUGGGUAAUCUGCCCUUCGAUGGGGAAUAACCUCGCGAAAGCGAGGCUAAUUCCGCAUAACAUUCCGAUGGUUCCGAUCAAUGGACUCAAAGCCGUAAGGCGUCGGAGGAGGAGCCCGCGCACGAUUAGCUAGUUGGUGAGGUAACGGCUCACCAAGGCUUUGAUCGUU